GGACCCCUCUUUUAGAAAAAGUUGUUUAAAAUAGGAUGUAACUGUCCUCUUUUUGAGUACAAAAUUCUAAGUUUUCAAAGGUUUUGUAUAGAAGAACUAUACAAAUCCUUGGUAUUUCUAUUUUCUUUUCUACAUCAGUAAAAUGACCCCUUGUCUGAGGGAGGGUUGUUCUCAACCUGACAAUAACAAGUACAGGUCAAAGUACGGCCUUUUAAAACAGGGCUUUGAUACAGACCAAACAGCAAGCUAUAAAGGAUCCCAAAAUUAUUAGCAUACACAAUUCGAACAGGAAAACCAACGAACUAAUUUAUAUAUCCAAACAGGAAAAUACCAAUGAACAACAUCAACAAACGAUAACUGCUGAACGACAGGCCCCUGAAUCAAUCAGGACAGGUGCAUAAACAUGCAGCGGCUAUAUAUAGUUUUGUUUUGCCAGCAUACAAUAUAAUUGCAUUUGAAGGCAAAUCCUUCAGAAGUUCUUUGUACUUUAUUCUAACAACGAACAUUUUUUGAUAGGGAAUAUAAGUAAGGGGGAAAAAAACCAAUGUUGAUAUCUUUUUAUAAUAUUUACAAAAAAAAAACGGUGCGGGAAAUAGACACGAUUACAUUUCCGGAUGCGGGAAACGGGAAUAUAAAAAAAAUUCUGUUUUGAAAAAAAUAGGUGCGGGCGGGUCCGUCGAACAAGGAAUCAAAUUAGUGUGGCCUUAUAAUUUUUUUCCAAAAAAUAACUGUAACGAUCAUUAUUUGAGACCUCUGACAAAUCACCAGAAGGAUAUUUUUAUCAAUCAAUUUGAUGCUAACUGUAAGUAGCCGAUAAUGACCGUUUGACGCCUGAUGGUAAAGGGCAUUACUACCCUUCUACAAAUUUAAUUAAUUGAUGUAAUGUUAUGGACAGUUUAAAUUUCUAUAAAUCUUUGUUAUUUGCAAUUAUAUUUCAUCUUUAUAUUUUCUACUGCAGCC
rnacentral:lncRNA from 1 species